GUGCCAGCAGCCGCGGUAAUACGUAGGGGGCGAGCGUUGUCCGGAUUCAUUGGGCGUAAAGCGCGCGUAGGCGGCUUGGCAAGUCGGCCGUGAAAUCUCCGGGCUCAACUCGGAGGGGUCGGGCGAGACUGCGAGGCUCGAGGUGGGCAGAGGGCCGUGGAAUUCCGGGUGUAGUGGUGGAAUGCGUAGAGAUCCGGAGGAACACCAGUGGCGAAGGCGGCGGCCUGGGCCUGGCCUGACGCUGAGGCGCGAAAGCGUGGGGAGCGAUCCGGAUUAGAUACCCCUGUAGUCC
rnacentral:rRNA from 1 species